rnacentral:misc_RNA from 1 species
AUGGUCAGUUGGCAUUUGACAUGGAUUUAGGCUAAAAAAAUGUAAGCCAAAUUAGAUUCUACUUAAAAAUCCUAUGAAUCAGUGAUACAGAAAAUCGCUUAUUAGCGAACUUUUUGCAAUAAAGUGAACCUGGGACCAUUGUGGAUUGUAGACCCGGUGGAUGGAGAGUGAGGAUUCUUGGGUUCAAUCUGAGCUUAGUAAGGGGGAAGGCUUUUCCCUUUGGUAUCAGCGAUACUAUGACUUUGCCAAAGAUUUUUAAUCCAGGUUUUCAAAGAUUUCAAUGCAUCUUUUCAAAUAUGACUUUGCCUCCUCAUUUUUUUCCACCUCACAUAGAUGAAGCAGCUCUUCUUUAAACCCCACAUUUG